rnacentral:rRNA from 1 species
GGAUCAAGCGUCUGAAGGGCAUCUGGUGGAUGCCUUGGCACUGAGAGGCGAUGAAGGACGCAGCACGUUGCGAUAAGCCAUGGGGAGCCGCGAGCAGGCUUUGAUCCGUGGAUUUCCGAAUGGGGCAACCCACCGCGCAAGCGGUAUCCCACGCUGAAUCCAUAGGCGUGGGAGGCGAACCCGGCGAACUGAAACAUCUAAGUAGCCGGAGGAAAGGACAUCAACCGAGACUCCGCUAGUAGUGGCGAGCGAACGCGGACCAGGCCAGUCAUUCAGUCUACACAACCGGAACCGUCUGGAAAG